GGUUUUCUGGUUUGUGUGGAGAGGCUGAGACAAUCAUGGAUGGUGUGAUGGAUCGUAUGAAGAUCCUAUUUGAUAAGAGGCCGAGCCAUUCAAAUACCUACUUUCAUGAACCUGUAGCAUCACGGUCGCUUGCUUUACAAAUUGAUCUUAAUUACCCUUCAUCUAAUACCCUUUAGCAGCAGCUUGGGAUGGUGACGUUUUGUACUACUUGUGCUUAUGUCUACAUUUUUAACUAGGGAUAUUAUGUUUUUUAGCUGCUAUUUUACUUAGAUUUAAGACUCAUAUGAAUUUAUGUUUGUGAUGUCUCUGAUUAUGAUACUUACCUUGAAAGGCCUUAAUAGUUUUUGUAAUUAAGUCUA